rnacentral:lncRNA from 1 species
UUUAAAAUUUUAUAAAAUAGAAAAUAAAUAUUAAAAAUUUGAAAAUAAAAUUUUAAAAAUAGUUUCAAAAAGUAUUUUCGAAUUACAAAAAGAAAAUUUGAAAAAAAAAUAAAAAAAAUUUCAGAAAGAAAAUUUAUAAAAAAAUUCGAAUUUGAAAAACAUAUAAUCUAAAACUAUAAAGUGUAUUAGUGUCAUUUUACCUAUUAAAUGAAACAUUUUGAUCAUUUUCCUCAUUUUAGUCUAUUUUUGUGACCAGAACUUGAAAAUGAUAUAUUUAUGAGAAUUGCC